CACGGGGGCUGCGAGCGUUGUCCGGAAUUACUAGGCGUAAAGGGCAGGCAGGCGGAUCCAUAAGUUUAUCGUUUAAGGCGUCGGCUUAACCGGCGUAGGGCGGUAGAUACUGUGGAUCUGGAAUGCGGUUGGGGAAGACAGAAUUCCUGGUGUAGCGGUGGAAUGCGCAGAGAUCAGGAGGAAUACCGAAGGCGAAGGCAGUCUUCCAAGCCGUUAUUGACGCUCAACUGCGAAGGUGUGGGUAUCAAACAGGAUUAGAUACCCUGGUAGUCCCU
rnacentral:rRNA from 1 species